GGGGGCACCCUGAUCCAGCAAUGCCGCGUGUGUGAAGAAGGCCUUCGGGUUGUAAAGCACUUUUGUCCGGAAAGAAAACGUCUUGGUUAAUACCCGAGGCGGAUGACGGUACCGGAAGAAUAAGCACCGGCUAACUACGUGCCAGCAGCCGCGGUAAUACGUAGGGUGCGAGCGUUAAUCGGAAUUACUGGGCGUAAAGCGUGCGCAGGCGGUCUGUUAAGACCGAUGUGAAAUCCCCGGGCUUAACCUGGGAACUGCAUUGGUGACUGGCAGGCUUUGAGUGUGGCAGAGGGGGGUAGAAUUCCACGUGUAGCAGUGAAAUGCGUAGAGAUGUGGAGGAAUACCGAUGGCGAAGGCAGCCCCCUGGGCCAACACUGACGCUCAUGCACGAAAGCGUGGGGAGCAAACAGGAUUAGAUACCCUGGUAGUCCACGCCCUAAACGAUGUCAACUAGUUGUUGGGGAUUCAUUUCCUUAGUAACGUAGCUAACGCGUGAAGUUGACCGCCUGGGGAGUACGGUCGCAAGAUUAAAACUCAAAGGAAUUGACGGGGACCCGCACAAGCGGUGGAUGAUGUGGAUUAAUUCGAUGCAACGCGAAAAACCUUACCUACCCUUGACAUGGUCGGAAGUCUGCUGAG
rnacentral:rRNA from 1 species